rnacentral:tRNA from 1 species
GCUCGAAUGGCGGAAUAGGCAGACGCAACAGACUUAAAAUCUGUCGGGAAUUUUUCCCGUGCCGGUUCAAGUCCGGCUUCGAGCACCA